GCUAGCAAACUUUUCUAGAUCAUCAUCCAGUUUACUGUGGUCCAAAAGGAAAGAUGUAUCAUCAGUUGGAAAGAACGAAACAUCUGCACCUAAAUUUGCAUUGGGAGUCAAAGAAUUACUAUUUCUUCCCCCACCGAUACUUUUAUUGUAAGGACUCAUAAGUUUUUCAGGUUCGUCUUUAGCAGAGACUUCCGCGAUCCAGCGCUGCCACGCCAUGAAACCAGAUUGGCUAGUAUUCCCAUUACCGUCAGAGCGAGCUCCUUUGAGAUGAGCAUCAAAGAGUCGAAUAACUCUAGCACAAUUCUUGGCAGCUUCAUUCCCUUCUGCCAUAUAGUCGAGAGCUGAGUAAGCAUACUGCAUUGCUAUGUCAUCUUCUUCACAAGGUUCGGUAACACAGUGAAGCAAAACCACCAGCGCACUUGAGAAGGUAUAAUUAUAGUCAAAGAAAGAGUAACAAGAGAGUUGAGAAUGAUUCUGAAGUAAAUGUACGAGUGAAAUUAAGUGCCUGGCAGCUAAAAUGCAGUCUUCAUUGAUACGAUCGACACGCGGAGAAUUUUUUGCAUUUUUCAUUUUAUGUAGUAAAACAGGUCGAGACAUGAUGAUAAUAGCUUGGUCAUAUGUCAUGUGUAAAUGCACAUUUGCACGAAAAAGUGGGUCUUCAGCAUCAAGAUUUUCCAAAAUCUGAAAUGGUGGUAAAGAACGCUUCCAUUCUUCAAGAUCGGCGCGAAGGGAUUCAAUUAUGUUUAUUGGAUUCUUUUUAUAAUUGACAGUUCCAUAAAGUUGUUCCAUAGUUUUUCCCAUUAUUUUCGCAAUUUUAGACAUAGAUAUGAUAUUAUGAACGUUGGAAGCAGAACCUUCUAUUUCCAAUUCAGGCACUACUGUUGGUAAUGCCGCAUCACAUUCGCUGUCCGCAAUAGAAAGUGGACGUCCUGUAGCAAUACUGAUUAAGCGAUCCAUGGUAUAAACCGACCACCAUAGGCGAUUACGAAGUUCUUUGGUCUUGGGAUCAAUAUUUGGAUUUUCACAGCUACGAUGCAACCCGUUUGCGACAGCAGCAGAUAAAGAAAGUCCGAAGUAAGUAUAGGAACUCUUUUGGGAAAGUGUAGACUGAAGAUACAACCCCAUAAGUAUGGAAGCCUGAACCAAGCUUGGUUUGCAUUGCUGAAUUACUUGUGGUAACAAAAGCCUAGCAGUAUCAAAAAACUGUUUUCCUGGGUUGUCAAAAGGAUUGCUAGCAGAACGAAUUUCCAUGUGAGCAAACAUACUACCAAGUGCAAAGAUCAUCAUUAGCAAGCAAAGAAAGCCAGGGUCAACGGAUGGAUUUUGGAAGCUCAUGAUAAGGUUUAAACGAUAACGAAGUAAUGUUUCAUGGAAAAAGAAAAAAUUUGCUUGAACAUGGCCAUAGAAAGAUUUGAUAAGAAAAUCUGAAACUUCAGGAGGAGGGAGAAGACUCAGCGCUUUUUGAACAGCAUUUACAUCAUGUUCAUUCGGAGGAUAACUGUGAUGGGUAUGGGAAUACGCGCUCAGCUCGGAAAAAGAAGGAUCGACAAGUAGUUCACUUUGAACAGAGUCAACGAAUGCUUCACCAGCAGAAGCUCCUAUAUAACGGGAUUCGCCGUUAGAGUCAACUUUUAUUUUUCCAAUUAAUUUCAUGAUUUCGUCAACGCUUUGAUCGCUAGCAUCAGCAUUGAUUCCAUUGUUCGUAUCCUCUGCUACGACCGUUGGAUCUUGCUGAAUUUGUGAACAAACAAGUGCACCUUGUGUAAGGGUAUCCACGUCACGUUGACUAUUGGUGCUUUCACUAUUGAGGGAAAAGACAUCUGAAGAUAAUAGUGAUUUUUGGUUGCUUAUACGAUUGCAAACUUCAAUCAAUGAAGGUGUAGUAUAAGUCGAAACUUUGGUGGAACAAAGACGUUCAACAAUAUAUUCUAAACACUUGUAUCUUUUUGAAAGAUCAAUAAAGUAGUCCUUAGAAUAAUCCAUUUCUUUUUCAUCCUUUACUGGAUAUGUGCAUUCCAAAUUAUUGGAAGCACAAGCUUUGCAUGGGUUUGCCCCGUCGCAACGAACUUUCCGGGCUUUGCAGUUAAAGCAGGCUAGAACCACCCUUCUUCGUCUCUCCAUAGGAACACGACGUCUCCUAUUAUGCUGCUCCUGCUUCAUGGCUUCGAACAGAACCGCCGUAUUUUCAGGUGAAAAUUCAUGGCUCAUU